rnacentral:rRNA from 1 species
AACGAACGCUGGCGGCAGGCUUAACACAUGCAAGUCGAACGCCCGUAGCAAUACGGGAGUGGCGGACGGGUGAGUAACGCGUGGGAACGUACCCUGAGGUACGGAAUAACCGAGGGAAACUUCGGCUAAUACCGUAUGAGCCCCGCAAGGGGGAAAGAUUUAUCGCCUUGGGAGCGGCCCGCGUCGGAUUAGCUAGUUGGUGGGGUAACGGCCUACCAAGGCUUCGAUCCGUAGCUGGUCUGAGAGGACGAUCAGCCACACUGGGACUGAGACACGGCCCAGACUCCUACGGGAGGCAGCAGUGGGGAAUCUUGCGCAAUGGGGGCAACCCUGACGCAGCCAUGCCGCGUGAACGAUGAAGGCCUUAGGGUUGUAAAGUUCUUUACCCGUGACGAUGAUGACGGUAACGGGGAAUAAGCUCCGGCUAA